rnacentral:rRNA from 1 species
ACGGGUGCGUAACGCGUGGGAAUCUGCCCUUGGGUUCGGAAUAACAGUUAGAAAUGACUGCUAAUACCGGAUGAUGUCUUCGGACCAAAGAUUUAUCGCCCAAGGAUGAGCCCGCGUAAGAUUGGCUAGUUGGUGGGGUAAUGGCCCACCAAGGCGACGAUCUUUAGCUGGUCUGAGAGGAUGAUCAGCCACACUGGGACUGAGACACGGCCCAGACUCCUACGGGAGGCAGCAGUGGGGAAUAUUGGACAAUGGGCGAAAGCCUGAUCCAGCAAUGCCGCGUGAGUGAUGAAGGCCUUAGGGUUGUAAAGCUCUUUUACCAGGGAUGAUAAUGACAGUACCUGGAGAAUAAGCUCCGGCUAACUCCGUGCCAGCAGCCGCGGUAAUACGGAGGGAGCUAGCGUUGUUCGGAAUUACUGGGCGUAAAGCGUACGUAGGCGGUUAUUCAAGUCAGAGGUGAAAGCCCGGGGCUCAACCCCGGAACGGCCUUUGAAACUAGGUAGCUAGAGUCUUGGAGAGGUUAGUGGAAUUCCGAGU